rnacentral:rRNA from 1 species
GAGUUUGAUCGUGGCUCAGAUUGAACGCUGGCGGUAUGCUUAACACAUGCAAGUCGAACGGCAGCAUGAUUUGUAGCAAUACAAAUUGAUGGCGAGUGGCGGACGGGUGAGUAACACGUAGGAAUCUACCCUAAAGCGGGGGAUAACCCGAGGAAACUCGGGCUAAUACCGCAUAAUAUCUAUGGAUUAAAGCUGGGGCAACCUGGCACUUUAGGAGGAGCCUGCGUCUGAUUAGCUAGUUGGUAGGGUAAAGGCCUACCAAGGCGACGAUCAGUAGGUGGUCUGGGAGGAUGAUCACCCACACUGGGACUGAGACACGGCCCAGACUCCUACGGGAGGCAGCAGUGGGGAAUAUUGGACAAUGGGGGCAACCCUGAUCCAGCAAUACCGCGUGUGUGAAGAAGGCCUCGGUU